GUGCAGACACAUGGGCUUAGGGGUGAAGAUAGGAGAGGCAAGAGAGAAACCAGAGGGAUAAGAGCCCCAGCAUGGAGCUUGGGCAGUAGGGAGGCAAUGAAGCUCUUUGACCAGUCAAUCAUCUCCAUAUUUGGUCCUGGUGUGGCCAUGCAUCUCUCGGCCAGAUGGAUUCCAGCAGGUGUCUUCUUCAUCCUUUCAUCCUUUCCCUAGACUGAAGGCCUUCUCUGUGCAUGCGUCAGGCCGGGAAAUCCACAAGAAUGCAUCCCAUUCAAGACCCAAUCCUCCCACUGGUAUCCCAUUUUGAAAUGUCAGCAGGAGGCCAGCUGCAGCUGCCCAGCCUGGGGCCAAUCCACCUCCUACCUUGGCUUGACUUGUGAAGGGGACCCGUAGGGCUGCCUCAGGACCUGACAGCUGGCUCCCCCAGGAGAAUAUAUAUCAUUAAGAAAGAUGAGCCUGAAGAGUUGAUGCUUUUGAACUGUGAUGUUGGAGAAAACUCUUGAGAGUCCCUUGGACAGCAAGGAGAUCAAACCAGUCAAUCUAAAAAAAAAAUCAACCCUGAAUACUCAUCGCAACGACUGAUGCUGAAGCUGAAGCUCAAGCUCCAAUACUUUGGCCACCUGAUGCAAAGAGCUGACUCAUUGGAAAAGACCCUGAUGUUGGGAAAAAUUGAAGGCAGGAGAAGGGGAUGACAGAGGAUGAGAUGGUUGGAUGGCAUCACUGACUUAAUGGACAUAAUUCUGAGCAAAUUCCAGGAGAUGGUGAAGGACAGGGGAGCCUGGCAUGCUGUAGUCCAUGGGGUCACCAAGAGUCGGACACGACUGAGCAACUGAACUGAAGUUACUAAUUGCAGGCCACACAUGAGGAGGGGAUUACAUAAAGGCACGAUAGCAGGAAGCCAGAAUCAUUUUGGACCAUCGUAUAAUGAAUAGAACCUGUUACUGUGACUUUUUAAAAAUUUUACUUUCUAAUUUUGGCUACUAUAUAGUAUUACAUAAUGAUGUUUUAACAUUGUUUUUUGUAUCCUGCAAACUUACUGAAC
ensembl:lncRNA